rnacentral:rRNA from 1 species
GAGAGUUUGAUCCUGGCUCAGAACGAACGCUGGCGGCGCGUCUUAAACAUGCAAGUCGAACGAAGUUCGCAGCCCUUCGGGGCUGCUAAUUUAGUGGCGCACGGGUGAGUAACACGUAGGAACCUGCCCUUUUGCGGGGGACAACUUCUGGAAACGGGAGCUAAUACCGCAUACGAUCGAGAGAUGAAAGGACAGCAAUGUUCGCAGAAGGAUGGUCCUGCGGCCUAUCAGCUUGUUGGUGGGGUAAUGGCCUACCAAGGCAACGACGGGUAGCCGGUUUGAGAGGAUGAUCGGCCACACUGGCACUGAGACACGGGCCAGACUCCUACGGGAGGCAGCAGUUAAGAAUCUUGCGCAAUGGGCGAAAGCCUGACGCAGCGACGCCGCGUGGAGGAUGAAGGCCCUCGGGUUGUAAACUCCAGUAGACUGGGAAGAAUAAGGCAAGUCGUUGAGGCUUGUUGAUGACGGUACCAGUCUGAAGCCCCGGCUAAUUACGUGCCAGCAGCCGCGGUAAUACGUAUGGGGCAAGCGUUGUUCGGAUUCAUUGGGCGUAAAGGGCACGCAGGCGGACUGCUAAGUUGGAUGUAUAAUCUUCAGGCUCAACCUGAUU